rnacentral:rRNA from 1 species
GAUGAACGCUAGCGACAGGCCUAACACAUGCAAGUCGAGGGGCAGCACAAGGAGCAAUCUGAGGUGGCGACCGGCGCACGGGUGAGUAACACGUAUGCAACCUACCUGUAAGCGGGGAAUAACCCGUUGAAAGACGGACUAAUACCGCAUAAUACUGAAGAUCUGCAUGGAUAUUCAGUUAAACAUUUAUGGCUUACAGAUGGGCAUGCGCAUGAUUAGAUAGUUGGAGAGGUAACGGCUCCCCAAGUCAACGAUCAUUAGGGGUUCUGAGAGGAAGGUCCCCCACACUGGUACUGAGACACGGACCAGACUCCUACGGGAGGCAGCAGUGAGGAAUAUUGGUCAAUGGGCGAGAGCCUGAACCAGCCAAGUCGCGUGCAGGAAGAAUGUCCUAUGGAUUGUAAACUGCUUUUGCAGGGGAAUAAAGUGAGCCACGUGUGGUUUUUUGUAUGUACUCUGCGAAUAAGGAUCGGCUAACUCCG